rnacentral:misc_RNA from 1 species
GAUGAAGAACGCAGCGAAAUGCGAUAAGUAAUGCGAAUUGCAGAAUUCAGUGAGUCAUCGAAUCUUUGAACGCACAUUGCGCCCUGUGGUAUUCCGCAGGGCAUGCCUGUUCGAGCGUCAUUUCAACCCUCAAGCUCUGCUUGGUGUUGGGCCCUGCCCGCUGCGGCCGGCCCUAAAGACAGUGGCGGUGCCGCCUGGCCCUGAGCGUAGUACAUCUCUCGCUCCAGUGCCCGGUGGUAGCCUGCCAGAACCCCAUCUCUCGUGGUUGACCUCGGAUCAGGUAGGGAUACCCGCUGAACUUAAGCAUAUCAAUAAGCGGAGGA